UACGAAGGGGGCUAGCGUUGUUCGGAAUUACUGGGCGUAAAGGGCGCGUAGGCGGUAUCUCAAGUCAGACGUGAAAGCCCCGGGCUUAACCUGGGAAUGGCGUUUGAUACUGAGAAACUAGAGGACGGGAGAGGAAAGCAGAAUUCCUAGUGUAGAGGUGAAAUUCGUAGAUAUUAGGAAGAAUACCGGAGGCGAAGGCGGCUUUCUGGACCGUAACUGACGCUGAGGCGCGAAAGCGUGGGGAGCAAACAGG
rnacentral:rRNA from 1 species